AAUAAUGAGAUAUUCAGCUCCUACUGUAUGGAUCAUAAUCCAGAGUUCGACGGAAAACCGUCUGGCGAGGAAUGAGCAUAG
rnacentral:lncRNA from 1 species